rnacentral:tRNA from 1 species
CAGGAAAUAGUUUAAUAAAUAAAAUAUUAAUUUUGGAGAUUAAUGAAAGAAGUAAAUUCUUUUCCUGA